GACGAACCGUGCGAACGUUGUUCGGAUUCACUGGGCUUAAAGGGCGCGUAGGCGGGCGGUCAAGUCGGGGGUGAAAUCUUUCCGCUUAACGGGAAGCGUGCCUCCGAUACUGAUCGCCUCGAGGGAGGUAGGGGCAUGUGGAACUUCCGGUGGAGCGGUGAAAUGCGUAGAUAUCGGAAGGAACGCCGGUGGCGAAAGCGACGUGCUGGACCUCUUCUGACGCUGAGGCGCGAAAGCUAGGGAAGCAAACGGG
rnacentral:rRNA from 1 species